rnacentral:rRNA from 1 species
GAUGAACGCUGGCGGCGUGCUUAACACAUGCAAGUCGAACGAUGAAGCCCAGCUUGCUGGGUGGAUUAGUGGCGAACGGGUGAGUAACACGUGAGUAACCUGCCCUUAACUCUGGGAUAAGCCUGGGAAACUGGGUCUAAUACCGGAUAGGAGCGUCCACCGCAUGGUGGGUGUUGGAAAGAUUUAUCGGUUUUGGAUGGACUCGCGGCCUAUCAGCUUGUUGGUGAGGUAAUGGCUCACCAAGGCGACGACGGGUAGCCGGCCUGAGAGGGUGACCGGCCACACUGGGACUGAGACACGGCCCAGACUCCUACGGGAGGCAGCAGUGGGGAAUAUUGCACAAUGGGCGAAAGCCUGAUGCAGCGACGCCGCGUGAGGGAUGACGGCCUUCGGGUUGUAAACCUCUUUCAGUAGGGAAGAAAGCGAAGUGACGGUACCUGCAGAAGAAGCACCGGCUAACUACGUGGCAGCAGCCGCGGUAAUACGUAGGGUGCGAGCGUUAUCCCGAAUUAUGGGGCGUAAAGAGCUCGUAGCGGUUUGUCGCGUCUGUCGUGAAAGUCCGGGGCUUAACCCCGGAUCUGCGGUGGGUACGGGCAGACUAGAGUGCAGUAGGGGAGACUGGAAUUCCUGGUGUAGCGGUGGAAUGCGCAGAUAUCAGGAGGAACACCGAUGGCGAAGGCAGGUCUCUGGGCUGUAACUGACGCUGAGGAGCGAAAGCAUGGGGAGCGAACAGGAUUAGAUACCCUGGUAGUCCAUGCCGUAAACGUUGGGCACUAGGUGUGGGGACCAUUCCACGGUUUCCGCGCCGCAGCUAACGCAUUAAGUGCCCCGCCUGGGGAGUACGGCCGCAAGGCUAAAACUCAAAGGAAUUGACGGGGGCCCGCACAAGCGGCGGAGCAUGCGGAUUAAUUCGAUGCAACGCGAAGAACCUUACCAAGGCUUGACAUGUUCUCGAUCGCCGUAGAGAUACGGUUUCCCCUUUGGGGCGGGUUCACAGGUGGUGCAUGGUUGUCGUCAGCUCGUGUCGUGAGAUGUUGGGUUAAGUCCCGCAACGAGCGCAACCCUCGUUCCAUGUUGCCAGCACGUAAUGGUGGGGACUCAUGGGAGACUGCCGGGGUCAACUCGGAGGAAGGUGAGGACGACGUCAAAUCAUCAUGCCCCUUAUGUCUUGGGCUUCACGCAUGCUACAAUGGCCGGUACAAUGGGUUGCGACACUGUGAGGUGGAGCUAAUCCCAAAAAGCCGGUCUCAGUUCGGAUUGGGGUCUGCAACUCGACCCCAUGAAGUCGGAGUCGCUAGUAAUCGCAGAUCAGCAACGCUGCGGUGAAUACGUUCCCGGGCCU